rnacentral:rRNA from 1 species
UGAGGAAUAUUGGUCAAUGGACGAGAGUCUGAACCAGCCAAGUAGCGUGAAGGAUGACUGCCCUAUGGGUUGUAAACUUCUUUUAUAAGGGAAUAAAGUGAGGGACGUGUCCCUUUUUGUAUGUACCUUAUGAAUAAGGAUCGGCUAACUCCGUGCCAGCAGCCGCGGUAAUACGGAGGAUCCAAGCGUUAUCCGGAUUUAUUGGGUUUAAAGGGAGCGUAGGUUGACAUAUAAGUCAGCUGUGAAAGUUUACGGCUCAACCGUGAAAUUGCAGUUGAUACUGUAUGUCUUGAGUGUACAAGAGGUGGGCGGAAUUCGUGGUGUAGCGGUGAAAUGCUUAGAUAUCACGAAGAACUCCAAUUGCGAAGGCAGCUCACUGGGGUACAACUGACACUGAGGCUCGAAAGUGUGGGUAUCAAACAGGAUUAGAUACCCU